AAAGGGGUGUGGCAGGAAGCAGUGCAGUUUCUGUGAGCUGAGUUAUGGAGCUUCUUUCUCAUUGAAGACUUCUCUCCCAUGGGAUUGGCUCCAGGACACUGUAUGCCUUCUCUUGUGGAGACGUGGAGAACAAAGGGGGAUUUGUUGAUAUAACCCGGCUGCAGUGAACCGGACGCUUCCCUUCCUCCCUGAAUACACUGUCUCAUCCACUCCUAGACAGCUGAGUUCCCGGUCACUGCAAAAGAAAGCAGAAGGAAAUUUUACAUGGAGUUACACUCCUCAAGAUAAAAUAAAGGACUGACGAUCCUGCUCUGUCCUCAGCCACAUCACCUCAGGCUGCUGUGAGCUCUGUGGAUCCGGAUAACCAUAGGGAUAAGUACAAACUGAGAGGUGACAGGCAAGAACUGGCUGAGAACUGCUAUUUUCAGAACACCUCUCCAUCUGCCAAACAACAAAGUCUUCGCUCAUUGUGACAAGGGUUGCCGGUGAUUGAAAUCCAAACCAGUACCUCAGUGGGUGAUAUCUUGGUCAGGAUGGGAGAAGUUAAAAACAUUGGACAGAAAGCAGCAGAGCAGCAUGUGAAAUUAGAACCCAAGAACAACAAACUACAAAGUGUGAAAACAACACAGGAAGACCACUGUCAUAUGAAGUUAAAAUCUUUGGCAGUAACAAU